rnacentral:rRNA from 1 species
AUGCAUGAUCAGGUCGGCUUUGACCUGAACGGCUUCCCACUCGACCACAAGUUUCCGGAGGACUACGGACAAGAGGAAGAGGAUGAGUUGGACAUCAAAGGGGAGCCUUUGUUUGAGGACGAGCUCACCAACCAAGCUGCCGGGAGGAAACCAAAGCGCAAGAGCAGGCAGACCAAGGCGUACACGAUAGCCGAGGACAAGCUUCUUUGUGAGUGUUGGAGGGAUAUUCGGCAAGACCCCAAGACCGGCGCCGAACAAAAGGCAUCAACCAUUUGGACUCGUGUCCAUCGUGAGUUUCAUGAGCGCGAGAAGUUUCCACCGUACCAAAUGCAAAGCACGCGCGGAUGGCUGUCCAUUUCGAAGCGUUGUAAGGUGAUCCAACAAGAGUGCAACAAGUUUUGUGCCACUCUUGAGAGCUUCAAGGCAUGCCCCGUGAGCGGCAUCGGCAUGCAAGACAUGGUAUGCUAG